GACGAACGCUGGCGGCGUGCUUAACACAUGCAAGUCGAACGGAAAGUUCCUGCUUUGGGGGGGUGCUCGAGUGGCGAACGGGUGAGUAACACGUGAGUAACCUGCCCUUGACUGUGGGAUAACUUCAUGAAACUGGUGCUAAUACCGGAUAGGAGCUCCUGCUGCUUGGUGGGGGUUCGAAAGUUUCGGCGGUUGGGGAUGGACUCGCGGCUCAUCAGCUUGAUGGUGGGGUGGUGUCUUACCAAGGCUUUGAACGGUAGGCGGCCUGAGAGGGUGACCGGCCACAUUGGGACUGGGAUGCGGCCCAGACUCCUACGGGAGGCAGCAGUGGAGAAUAUUGCACAAUGGGAGGAGGCCUGAUGCAGCAACGCCGCGUGCGGGAUAACGGCAUGCGGGUAGUAAACCGCUUUCGCCUGUGACGAAGCGUGAGUGACGGUAAUGGGUAAAGAAGCACCGGCUAACUACGUG
rnacentral:rRNA from 1 species